UCGGGUGUGGUGCACGGUGCACGGCGGCAUCCCGUCGAAGAUUGGGAUCGGAUGAUGUAUGUACGUCGCAGUGCGGGGUUCGACUCCCCGCGCCCGAA